GCCUGGGUGGCUCAGUCGGUUAAGCAUCCGACUUCGGCUCAGGUCACCAUCUCACGGUUCGUGGGUUCGAGCCCCGCAUCAGGCU
rnacentral:tRNA from 1 species